UGCCUCCCUGGGAACAUUCUAUCCAACUGACUUAUCUGUCAAUCAUUGAAUGAACUUCAAUCUCCCAGAGAUUCAAUGUAACAAUACGUCAAACACACUUAACACAUUGUCUCUAAGAAAAGGGAAUGAACAUCUAUAACAGAGAACUUCUCAGGAACAGAUGGAUUUGUGAAACAACCCAAACAACACUAAAGACCCCAGUCACCGAAGUCCAUGAGUUGAAGAUGAGCCAGAAGAACAGCUCACAUGGCAGAACAAUCCCUGAAGAUGGCAAGCCCCUUUAAAAAUGAUCAACCUUAACUAUUUACUCCAACCCAAUUACUAUUAUUGUUGUGAUUCAACUACUUUGAAAAAUGUAACUUAUAAUGAUGUACACCCUUGUAUUCUGAUAUUGGGUAUAACUAUUCCUGCAAUAAAUGUAAAUUUUCAAA